rnacentral:rRNA from 1 species
UAGGGAAUCUUCGGCAAUGGGGGGAACCCUGACCGAGCAACGCCGCGUGAGUGAAGAAGGUUUUCGGAUCGUAAAGCUCUGUUGUUAAGGAAGAACGAGUGUGAGAAUGGAAAGUUCAUACUGUGACGGUACUUAACCAGAAAGGGACGGCUAACUACGUGCCAGCAGCCGCGGUAAUACGUAGGUCCCGAGCGUUGUCCGGAUUUAUUGGGCGUAAAGCGAGCGCAGGCGGUUAGAUAAGUCUGAAGUUAAAGGCAGUGGCUCAACCAUUGUAGGCUUUGGAAACUGUUUAACUUGAGUGCAGAAGGGGAGAGUGGAAUUCCAUGUGUAGCGGUAAAAUGCGUAGAUAUAUGGAGGAACACCAGUGGCGAAGGCGACUCUCUGGUCUGUAACUGACGCUGAGGCUCGAAAGCGUGGGUAGCAAACAGG